rnacentral:lncRNA from 1 species
UUAUGAUUUUUUUAUACUAAUAUAAUAACUUGAUUACAAAAACUAUAUUUAUGUAAAUAUUAAUGUUCAAAAUGUCCUAAUCAUUUUAAAAUAAAGCUGUUGGGAAAAAAUAAUGAGCUUGGUUUUUGGAUACCAAGAAUAAGUGUUCUUUCAAGUUUGAAUAAUGUAUUUAAUUUGCUUAUGUUAAUAUCCCGUUUUAUAAUCAACAGUUUAUAUAUGUUAUGCCCAAACACCAAAAUCGCACAAUGACCAAAAAAAUAGCCAUAACGCAUUGUGGCCAGUUCCACCAAAACCAAUACGCAUUCUGAGCAUUUCGAAAUGACCACUGACCAUUCUGAAACAGAUCAGGCAUGUGUUUAUAGUAGUAUUUUCUGUGUAAGGUUGCCAGCACAUUAUAAUGUGUUGGCAUGUCACACAGGAGGACCUGUCCCAUGUCUAGCAUCACCUGAAAAGUUUCUUUGGGGGUUCUGGGCCAGCCUAGUGAUUCCCAUCCUUCACCAUCUGGUCCCACCCUUUAGUUAUCUGAUUGGAAAGGGGCAUAAAAUAGCAAAAAAAGUAUGCUCCGUGUUACUAGGUAAUAAUGG